GACGAACGCUGGCGGCGUGCUUAACACAUGCAAGUCGAACGAUGAACUCCCAGCUUGCUGGGGGGGAUUAGUGGCGAACGGGUGAGUAACACGUGAGUAACCUGCCCUGGACUCUGGGAUAACCCCGAGAAAUCGGAGCUAAUACCGGAGAGGACCCUGUACCGCAUGGUGUGGGGUGGAAAGUUUUUUCGGUCUGGGAUGGACUCGCGGCCUAUCAGCUUGUUGGUGAGGUAAUGGCUCACCAAGGCGUCGACGGGUAGCCGGCCUGAGAGGGUGACCGGCCACACUGGGACUGAGACACGGCCCAGACUCCUACGGGAGGCAGCAGUGGGGAAUAUUGCACAAUGGGCGCAAGCCUGAUGCAGCAACGCCGCGUGCGGGAUGACGGCCUUCGGGUUGUAAACCGCUUUUAGUAAGGAAGAAGGGGAGCUUGCUCCUUGACGGUACUUGCAGAAAAAGGACCGGCUAACUACGUGCCAGCCGCCGCAGUAAUAC
rnacentral:rRNA from 1 species